rnacentral:lncRNA from 1 species
GCACUUUUGGUAUUAACCCAGACCAUGGAGGCAAGGCUGAGAAAAAAAGCAAGGAAAGAGAACCCAAAAAUAUUCAGUUUGACGAAAAAAUCAUGGAUUCUGAAUGGAAUAUUUACAGGAUGAUGGUGAAACAAAAAAGUGAAGCACUAGGGUGGACCUAACAAGGAGUUGGAAGAAAACCUAAUGUUCAACUGAUUUUUGAACACCUAAAAAUGUACAAGAUAGAUCAAACUGUUACAAAGAGAUUAUGAUAAAGUUAUUUAUUGUGCCUGGAAUGGACAUAUGCCAAAUGCAGAAUCCAGGUGUGUGGAGAACUUUAAUAAAUAGCAGUAUUGCCCAUUUCCA